GGAAAUUUUUUAAGGAUUAGAGCCUUGUUUUUCUUUCUCUUCUAUCCCCUAUCUUUGGCAACAGUGGUUAAAACUCCGCAACUCUAUCUUCUCUUCCCACUCCUUCCCUUUUCUCCCAGCAUCCACUGUGCAGGACUUGUAUAGUUAACUGAUCUGUAACACUGUUUUAGGUGUCAGCCACACUGGCUACGGUCCACUCAUUCCUGGCCAUUAAUAAUUGUCUGUUAACAACACAAGCCAGGGUGGAGAGUAGGUUAAAGUGCUCUGCUCCCCAUCUCUGGAAUGUAUUCAAACCGUCUUCCACUGCACACUGCAUUCUUGGCCACCCUGUUCCUCACAGUCCCAGCUUUGGCUUUACCCUUCUCCACCCUGUUUGCUGAGAUGAAUGUCAAGUCUGUGCCCACUCUCCCAGCUCAGUCUCUGGGCUUCUCUCUUCCUCUAGGUCUACACUGCAGCCAAAGGACCCAGCAGCUGGAGUACCCUCCAUCAUGAGGGUGGAUGGAGGAUUUUGUUUGUUUCCUUGACAAAGCUGAUCUGGGCACAACGGUUUUGAC
rnacentral:lncRNA from 10 species